rnacentral:rRNA from 1 species
CACGUAGGGUGCGAGCGUUGUCCGGAAUUAUUGGGCGUAAAGAGCUCGUAGGCGGUGUGUCGCGUCGGCCGUGAAAACCUGCAGCUUAACUGUGGGCUUGCGGUCGAUACGGGCAUCACUGGAGUUCGGCAGGGGAGACUGGAAUUCCUGGUGUAGCGGUGAAAUGCGCAGAUAUCAGGAGGAACACCGGUGGCGAAGGCGGGUCUCUGGGCCGAUAACUG